AAGUAUGAUAGGUAUAUUAUGUGUCUGACAAUAAGAAGAAGAAGUGAUCAAUUAUCAUUAGAAACAAGCUUAGAAAUAUUUUUUUCUGUUCAUAGUUCAAUUGAUGUUCUCAACAUUGAUGAAACAACUAAUAAACCUUAUCAAGAGAAUGAGCUUGAAAGCAACACUAGAAUUUUUUCUCUUGAGAGUGGACAACUAUGGGUUGAUAUUGGUAUUUCAUCAGG
rnacentral:lncRNA from 1 species